ACGCUCGACACCUACGGGAGGCAGCAGUUGGGAAUAUUGGACAAUGGAGGAAACUCUGAUCCAGUGACGCCGCGUGAAGGAAGAAGGUCUUCGGAUUGUAAACUUAUUUUGUCAGGGAAGAAAAAAUGACUGUACCUGAAGAAAAAGCACCGGCUAACUACGUGCCAGUAGCCCGCGGUAAUCUGAGCGGGCUGGCAAAGGC
rnacentral:rRNA from 1 species